rnacentral:lncRNA from 1 species
CAGCGGGCCGAGAGCAGGAGAGGCGAGGGGUGGUAGGUCGGCCGGUCGGUCAACAAGCGCAAGGCCCAGCUUCUCCCUUUCCGGGGCCCCGUCCCGGUUUUUGAGCUCGGCCCCCGCAGGGCCGCGGCGGCGGCUUCUUCUGGCUGAGGGGAGGGGGCGAAGGUUAUACAUUCCAAAUCCUUUGUUAGAAUACUCAGCUGAGGAUGAUGGAAGAUAAAGUCCAAAACGUAUGAGCAAGCAUAGAAUCAAAAUCAGGUGAAGUAUUAGUACCGCUUUAUAAAGUCUUAGUAAGACCACACUUGGAGUACUGCAUUCAGUUUUGCUCACCACAUUACAAAAAAGGAC